rnacentral:lncRNA from 1 species
GGGGUAAUAGCUCCUUUUUUCUUUUCUUUUUUUUUUUCAUUUCAAAGUUGCUGCCAGUGUUUUCAAUGAUGGACAACAGAGGGAUAUGCUGUAGAGUGUUUUAUUGCCUAGUUGACAAAGCUGCUUUUGAAUGCUGGUGGUUCUAUUCCUUUGACACUAUGCACUUUUAUAAUACAUGUUAAUGCUAUAUGACAAAAUGCUCUGAUUCCUAGUGCCAAAGGUUCAAUUCAGUGUAUAUAACUGAACACACUCAUCCAUUUGUGCUUUUUUUUUUUUUUUUAUGGUGCUUAAAGUAAAGAGCCCAUCCUUUGCAAGGCAUCCAUGUUGUUACUUAGGCAUUUUAUCUUGGCUCAAAUUGUUGAAGAAUGGUGGCUUGUUUCAUGGUUUUUGUAUUUGUGUCUAAUGCACGUUUUAACAUGAUAGAUGCAAUGCACUGUGUAGCUAGUUUUCUGGAAAAGUCAAUCUUUUAGGAAUUGUUUUUCAGAUCUUCAAUAAAUUUUUUCUUUAAAUUUCAAAGAAAAAAAAAA